rnacentral:rRNA from 1 species
CAGUAGCCACGGUAAUACGAAGGGGGCUAGCGUUGUUCGGAUUUACUGGGCGUAAAGCGCACGUAGGCGGACUUUUAAGUCAGGGGUGAAAUCCCGGGGCUCGACCCCGGAACUGCCUUUGAUACUGGAAGUCUUGAGUAUGGUAGAGGUGAGUGGAAUUCCGAGUGUAGAGGUGAAAUUCGUAGAUAUUCGGAGGAACACCAGUGGCGAAGGCGGCUCACUGGACCAUUACUGACGCUGAGGUGCGAAAGCGUGGGGAGCAAACAGGAUUAGAGACCCCGGUAGUCCCUGUUUCUUAUAC